rnacentral:lncRNA from 1 species
CAUGAAUCUCACUAAGGGUCAGUUUGCCCCAUAGAGUUAUGCAAUAGCAGGGCCUCUGCAUUGGAGAACUCCAGAGGGCACCAUUGGGUUAUAUUUUAUGUUUGCCUAACCUUCAUUGCAGUGAGUAGGUGCAUUCUUUCCACAAUGUCCUGAGGUCUAAAGGGGUAGAGUUCUGUGUGUGGCAUUUGAGUCCUGAAAAGAUGGGAGCCCACAAAACUGGAGAAAUACUGCAGACAGAGUCUUGCUCUGUCGCCAGGUUGGAGUGCAGCACCACGAUCUCGGCUCACUGCCACCUCCGCCUCCUGGGUUCAAGCGAUUCGUCUGCCUCAGCCUCCCAAAGAUCCCAGACCACCACUCAUGAUGCCAGGCUGGAGGAAGUAGCAGGCUAGAGGAAUUCAGGACAGAUGAGUCAGGAAAGAGGACCCAAUGCAGAGCUCACAUCCCACCUUCCUCUCCCAUGGCAAAGCACUGACAAACCCCUGCCAAAGGUGAAGCUCAGCUGCAAAGCAGUGUGGAGCUGGACCCAGGAUAGAUUCACCCGGAGCUCACCACCGCAGGGAAUGCUGCACUUUGACCAGGCAGAAUGUAUCCUCCAUGCCCACAGAGCAUGUGCCUGGGGUUGAAUCUCACUGUAUCUCACCCCAGUUCCUCAUGAUGGGCCCCAAACCUCUUCUUUUAUAGUAAUAAAGAAAACACAC